UUAUAAAGGUCAAAAUAUGGCACUUAAGUUGCUUUUCUACAGAAACUGCUCAGGGAGGGACUUUUGAGAUCUAUUAUAUUAUUACCCAAUACAAAAUUGAGGAUAUUUUGGAUUUAAAUUAAAUCUUGGUCAAAGAGGGUCAUAAAAGGGUCAUAUGUCAAAAGAGAACUCCAAGCAAAGCAUAGUCAUUUUUGUUGGCUAGAUAAAAAUGCCAAGAAGCUCUUUCGGUCCCUUGUUUUUGUGCAUCUACUGAAUGUGAAGAUAAAGAGUGUUAUGAGCUUCAUGCAAAUUGAGUUUUUACAAAUAAACAGUGGCAACAUUUGCAAGAACUGUAAAUCGUCACUAGUUCUACUUCAAUAAUUUCAAGGAUCUCUGAAAAUGAAGUUUAUCCAGAGAUAUUGAUUUUUUGGGGACAUUUGAGCAUUUUAACCAAUUUGGAGCAUCAUAGUAGUAUCUUGGAGCUUGAAGUUGAGGUUGAGGUGUGGCACGUGAUAAUCGGACAACGCUGGAUGACUCUCUUCCCAAGAUUAAGGUGCAAUGAGUUGAGUUCAAUGUGGUUGAUGGAUAGAUCGUUAUAAGAUAUCGACUGUUGGCGAUGUUUGAGCAUUUUAACCAAUUUGGAACGUCGUAGUAAUAUCUUGGAGCUUGAAGUUGAGGUAAGUUAAGACUUGCUCUUCUUGAGGUGUUUGGUCUACAUGUUUACAAAUGAAUUAUGUAUAAAUGUGAGUCCGUUCUUGGCGGGGACAGCGAGUGCGAGUCUCUCCAACAACAACAACAACAACAACAGCCCAGUGAAAUCCCACAUCUUGGGGUCUGGGGAGGGUAUAAUGUACGCAGACCUUACUCCUACCAAGGUAGGAUGGCUGUUUCCGAGAGACCCUCGGCUCAAUAGAAGCAUAAAAAGGGGGUCAGAUAAGGUUAAAAGAUUUAGAACGAUAUUGCAAUGAAAUAAUGCAAGUCUCUCCAUAUUUUAUAAUUAUAUUGCAUAUAAAGUACCAUUGAUUUAUAAACAAUACAUUGACAUGGAAAUAUAGCGAUGAAGCUAAUUGUUGAAGUGGCAGAAGUAAAAUCUCAUAAGUUUAUGAAGGCUUGCAUUUAUGCUAAAGGAAUGGAAAGGAAUUUAAGUAAAGAUUUUAAAUUUGUCUUAGAUAAAGUAUUGUGUCGAAAGUGCUAUUUCUUUUGAAUAAAUUAUAUUCAUUGGUAUUUAUACUUUUAAGAACUAAAUGGAUUGAAAAUAACACUUGUUGAAUACUAAGUAUUUUAAAUUCUCAUUUGAUAAUAUUUUUUUAGUAUAUUUGAGAAAAUUUCCUGUGCUUUGAUUAUUCUAUGUUAUCUGUGUCGCUUGCGUUACUUCAUUUCCAUAUCGCUUUGAAUCUCUUAGCCGUAUCUGACCUCUUUUUAUGUUUUUAUUGAGUCGAGGGUCUCUCGGAAACAGCCAUCCUACCUUGGUAGGAGUAAGGUCUGCGUACACUCUACCCUCCCCAGACCUCACGUUGUGGGAUUUCACUGGGUUGUUGUUGUUGUAUUUGAGAAAAGGUUUAUAUUUGAUUAUGUUCAAAAUGAGUUGGAUUGGCUAUGAAUGCCAUGAUUUGAUGUAAAAAUAAAAAAGAUCUUUUCGAGCUAAUAUGCUAUGAAUCUCUAUCUGAAUACCAAAUAUUUUGGGAGAUACUUGUGAUCACCGAGAUUGGCUUCAGAUACAUUCUGAUUAUCGCCAUGAAACUACACUUUCCGGUGUAGGCAUGGGCUCUACCUAAUGGUAAAGCGCUACGCAGAGUGCCCCCAUGAGAGGGUACUGUUGUGCUAUAAUAGCAUGACUGAGUCAAUUCGUACGGCACUACGAUGAGACGACCUAAGAAAGUACGGUGUACGAUACUUGUUGCCAGGUUGAUCACCUAGUUGACCUUGGAUCUUGUGUUGGUGUUGGUGUAGUGAUCCCGGUGAAAGGUAAUAAAGGAUUUGAUUACAUUUAGGCCUAAGGAGCCAAAAGUGAUUUCAAAUGAUUCACUGAAUUAAUUUAAAUCAGGUUUGAGAAGAUUCUCGUGUAUUCAUUAUUUAAUGUUUUUUAGGUUGAUGUGAAAUAGAGUUUACACAUGACUUUCAAUUUCAAAUAUUGAAAUUGUGAUUUGAUAUAAAUGUUUUCUAUUAGUGAUACUUGCAUUGAUUUCCCAAUAAAAUCUUGUCCCAGCUUUGAGUUGGAGAGAGUCAAUGAUACUUACUAGUACUGUGACGGUGUACUCGCCCUCUUUUGGGGCCCUCUAUUUUUCAUAUUUCAGGUUGAGGUGUGGCACGUGAUAAUCGGACAAGGCUAGGAUGACUCUCUUCCCAAGCCAAGAGGUAGCAUGCUUGAUGUUCAAAUUUUCACUUGCCUGAUGUAGGUUACUAAAUUCAAGUUAAUUAAAUAAUUCAAAAUUUUCUACAUCAAUAACUUGUAGGUGAAUCUUAAUGCUUUCAAAGGACUUGCACAAACAGACACACUCAAAAUGGAUUAUUUGUAAUCAAGAGGUAUUAGUUUCUAUUGGUCAAGCAUGUGUACCAAGGUUCCAAUGCUUUUUAUAAAAGCCUGAUGCAGAUAACAUUCAUUUUUCCUGAAGUGGAUGGGGUCAAAGAUCUGCAACUUGAAAUUGUUGCUGGUGCUGCGGUUAAAGGAUUGAACCAUUUGAAGUCUGAAGAGUGUGUCCUUGAAGAUGGUGCAGAGCAAGUUAAAGCAUAUAUGUUCUUAUUUUGGUACUGAUUUAUAGGACGAAGGAUCUGUUCGCUAGGAUUCUCUCAUAUCAGCUAUUGGUGAGCCCCACUUCAUUCGGGGUGUUAUUUAUUUCAUGUUCAUGUCAUGUUAGGUAAUAGAGGUAUGCUAUGGUCCUUGUACCAUUAAAACAAUUUAGUAUUCAGAUUCAUGAUUUAGAGGUUUCAUAGACUAGUCUAGCAUGUUAUAUCAGAUGUUCGGUGUUGUAUAGCCAGUGUUGGCUCUGUAAUUAUCAUGUUUUCAGACUAAUUUGUACAUUUUCAGUA